UGGGGAAUAUUGGACAAUGGGGGCAACCCUGAUCCAGCAAUGCCGCGUGUGUGAAGAAGGUCUUCGGAUUGUAAAGCACUUUCGACGGGGACGAUGAUGACGGUACCCGUAGAAGAAGCCCCGGCUAACUUCGUGCCAGCAGCCGCGGUAAUACGAAGGGGGCUAGCGUUGCUCGGAAUGACUGGGCGUAAAGGGCGUGUAGGCGGUUUACACAGUCAGAUGUGAAAUCCCCGGGCUUAACCUGGGAGCUGCAUUUGAUACGUGUAGACUAGAGUGUGAGAGAGGGUUGUGGAAUUCCCAGUGUAGAGGUGAAAUU
rnacentral:rRNA from 1 species